rnacentral:rRNA from 1 species
UACGGGGGGGGCAAGCGUUGUUCGGAAUUACUGGGCGUAAAGAGCGUGUAGGCGGCUAUUUAAGUCCUGCGUGAAAUCCUGCGGCUCAACCGCAGACGGUCGUGGGAAACUGGAUGGCUAGAGUGCGGGAGAGGAGAGUGGAAUUCCCGGUGUAGCGGUGAAAUGCGCAGAUAUCGGGAAGAACACCCGUGGCGAAGGCGGCUCUCUGGAACGCAACUGACGCUGAGACGCGAAAGCGUGGGGAGCAAACAGG